rnacentral:rRNA from 1 species
AGUGAACGCUGGCGGUAGGCCUAACACAUGCAAGUCGAACGGCAGCACAGGAGAGCUUGCUCUCUGGGUGGCGAGUGGCGGACGGGUGAGGAAUACAUCGGAAUCUACUUUUUCGUGGGGGAUAACGUAGGGAAACUUACGCUAAUACCGCAUACGACCUACGGGUGAAAGCAGGGGACCUUCGGGCCUUGCGCGAUUGAAUGAGCCGAUGUCGGAUUAGCUAGUUGGCGGGGUAAAGGCCCACCAAGGCGACGAUCCGUAGCUGGUCUGAGAGGAUGAUCAGCCACACUGGAACUUAGACACGGUCCAGACUCCUACGGGAGGCAGCAGUGGGGAAUAUUGGACAAUGGGCGCAAGCCGGAUCCAGCCAUACCGCGUGGGUGAAGAAGGCCUUCGGGUUGUAAAGCCCUUUUGUUGGGAAAGAAAUCCAGCUGGCUAAUACCCGGUUGGGAUGACGGUACCCAAAGAAUAAGCACCGGCUAACUUCGUGCCAGCCGCCGCAGUAA